rnacentral:tRNA from 1 species
GCGUCGGUAGUCUAGUCUGGUAGGACUCUGGCCUUCCAUCGCGGAAUUCUGGAGAAAGCCAGCGACGUGGGUUCAAAUCCCGCCCGACGCA